rnacentral:piRNA from 1 species
GCUGCUGCUAUAAAUGAGCACAAUGAA